rnacentral:rRNA from 1 species
ACAAAAACAUGUCUCUUUGAUUAUUUAAUAUAGGGAGUUUGACCUGCCCGGUGAUAAAAUAUUUAACGGCCGCAGUACUUUGACUGUGCGAAGGUAGCAUAAUUAUUUGCUUUAUAAUUGAAGGCUUGUAUGAAUGGUUUGACGAGAAUUGAUCUGUCUUAAUUUAAUUUUUUAGAAUUUAACUUUUAAGUGAAGAGGCUUUUAUUUUAUUGAUAGACAAGAAGACCCUGUCGAGCUUAAAUUUUUUAUUUAAUAUAAAUAUUUUAUUGUUUGUAGAUUUUAGUUGGGGUGACUAAGGAAUAGUAUGAGUUUCCUUAUAUAGUUUAAAAUUUGUUUAUUUUGAUCCAUUUAUUAAUGAUUAGUAGAAAAAGUUACCGCAGGGAUAACAGCAUAAUCUUUUUUGAGAGUUCAUAUCGAAAAAUAGGUUUGUGACCUCGAUGUUGGAUUAAAAUAUCCUAUGGGUGCAGAGGUUUUUAAGGGUUAGUCUGUUCGACUAUUAAAAUUUUACAUGAGCUGAG